rnacentral:rRNA from 1 species
GGGUGCCUACGGGGGGCAGCAGUGGGGGAUAUUGCACAAUGGGGGAAACCCUGAUGCAGCGACGCCGCGUGGGCGAAGAAGUAUUUCGGUAUGUAAAGCCCUAUCAGCAGGGAAGAAGAAAUGACGGUACUUGAGUAAGAAGCACCGGCUAAAUACGUGCCAGCAGCCGCGGUAAUACGUAUGGUGCAAGCGUUAUCCGGAUUUACUGGGUGUAAAGGGAGCGCAGCCGGCACGGCAAGCCUGAUGUGAAAGCCCGCGGCCCAACCGCGGGACUGCCUUGGGAACUCCCGGGCUGGAGGGCCGGG